AUGAGGCCCUUCCCGAUUCCCGUUUAAUGUGAUUUUUCAACCAUUGUGGUCACCGUUUCUUUCUCUACAGGUUGACCAGAGCAAAACACUCAACCACAACGUGAGCCAGAGGAUCCACCGCACCGGAGAGCCCCACCGCCGGUGAGUUUUGAUUUUUUACAUUUUUUCAGCCCACCGAAGGUCCUAAGUGUAUUUUCUCACAGGAACCGAUACAAAUUUUACUGAAUUCGACCGAAAAUAGCUAACCCGAGGUGGAUCGUCGUUGCGGGCUGAGGCGAUGUCGCCGGAGCACGGUGGAGC
rnacentral:lncRNA from 1 species